UUGGUAACGCUAGGAUGGGCUCGCCGAUCAGCCUUGGUAAGUAAUGCUCACCAUACCUUGCCCGGUACGGGCCAUGAGAGUGUAAGCCCGGAGAUGGACACUGAGACAAGGGUCCAGGCCGUACGGUGCGCAGCAGGCGCGUAACCUCCUCAAUGCACUAACGUUCGAAGGGGUUACCUCGAGUGCCACCUGAAGAAGGUGGCUUUUCCUUGGUCUAAAAAGCCUCGGGAAUAAGAGGGGGGCAAGACUGGUGUCAGCCUCCGCGGUAACACCAGCCCCUCGAGUGGUGGGGAUGAUUAUUUGGCCUAAAGCGUCCGUAGCCGGCCGUAUAAGUUUCCCGUUAAAUCCAACGUCUCAAGCGUUGGACUGCGGGAAAUACUGUACGGCUAGAGAGUGGGAGAGGUCAGCGGUAUUCUGGGGGUAGGGGCGAAAUCCUUUGAUCCCCGGAGGACCACCAGUGGCGAAGGCUGCUGACUAGAACACGUCUGACGGUCAGGGACGAAAGCUGGGGUAGCGAACCGGAUUAGAUACCCGGGUAGUCCCAGCCGUAAACGAUGCAUGCUAGGUGUUGGGUUGGCCACGAGCCACCCCAGUGCCGUCAGGGAAGCCGUUAAGCAUGCCGCCUGGGAAGUACGAUCGCAAGAUUGAAACUCAAAUGAUUGACGG
rnacentral:rRNA from 1 species